ACUCCUACGGGAGGCAGCAGUGGGGAAUAUUGGACAAUGGGCGCAAGCCUGAUCCAGCCAUGCCGCGUGAGUGAUGAAGGCCCUAGGGUUGUAAAGCUCUUUCACCGGUGAAGAUAAUGACGGUAACCGGAGAAGAAGCCCCGGCUAACUUCGUGCCAGCAGCCGCGGUAAUACGAAGGGGGCUAGCGUUGUUCGGAUUUACUGGGCGUAAAGCGCACGUAGGCGGACUAUUAAGUCAGGGGUGAAAUCCCGGGGCUCAACCCCGGAACUGCCUUUGAUACUGGUAGUCUUGAGUUCGAGAGAGGUGAGUGGAAUUCCGAGUGUAGAGGUGAAAUUCGUAGAUAUUCGGAGGAACACCAGUGGCGAAGGCGGCUCACUGGCUCGUUACUGACGCUGAGGUGCGAAAGCGUGGGGAGCAAACAGGAUUAGAUACCCCAGUAGUCCCA
rnacentral:rRNA from 1 species